CCUACGGGAGGCAGCAGUGGGGAAUAUUGCACAAUGGGCGAAAGCCUGAUGCAGCAACGCCGCGUGAGUGAUGAAGGCCUUCGGGUCGUAAAACUCUGUCCUCAAGGAAGAUAAUGACGGUACUUGAGGAGGAAGCCCCGGCUAACUACGUGCCAGCAGCCGCGGUAAUACGUAGGGGGCUAGCGUUAUCCGGAUUUACUGGGCGUAAAGGGUGCGUAGGCGGUCUUUCAAGUCAGGAGUGAAAGGCUACGGCGCAACCGUAGUAAGCUCUUGAAACUGGGGGACUUGAGUGCAGGAGAGGAGAGUGGAAUUCCUAGUGUAGCGGUGAAAUGCGUAGAUAGUAGGAGGAACACCAGUUGCGAAGGCGGCUCGCUGGACUGUAACUGACGCUGAGGCACGAAAGCGUGGGGAGCAAACAGGAUUAGAUACCCCAGUAGUC
rnacentral:rRNA from 1 species